rnacentral:rRNA from 1 species
UACAGAGGGUGCAAGCGUUGUUCGGAAUUACUGGGCGUAAAGCGCGUGUAGGCGGCUUGAUCAGUCAGAUGUGAAAUCCCUCGGCUCAACCGAGGAACUGCAUCUGAUACUGUCGGGCUCGAGUGCGGAAGAGGCGAGUGGAAUUCCUGGUGUAGCGGUGAAAUGCGCAGAUAUCAGGAGGAACACCGAUUGCGAAGGCAGCUCGCUGGGACGUUACUGACGCUGGAGACGCGAAAGCGUGGGGAGCAAACAGG